AUCAAUGUCCUAAGAUGCAUAUGUGGGUUUUCUUGGGGUGCGGACAGGAAAACAUUGCAAAUGUUGUAUAUUGGGCUAAUCAGAUCUACGAUUGAGUACAAUUGUUAUCUGUUUAGCACACUGUCGCCCAGUUUAUGCAAACGUCUAGAAGCCGUUCAAUCAACGUGCUUGAGACUUCUAACUGGGGCUUUUCGCACAUCGCCAGUUCUUGCGCUUCGUGCAGAUACCGGCAUUCCAGCACUUGAUGACCGACGCGUCUUUCUUUUCCUCCGCUAUUACUACAGAGCAAAAAGUGUUCGAAAUCACAUUGCGGUACCAGCAAUGGAGGCGAGGAAACCAAGAACCCGACGCCCACUGCGUAGAUCGUGCUUUCUACCCGGGUGCCUUGAGCAAGCUCAUCAACUGCUAAACAUUAGGCGCACUGAAGUUACUCUAAAUCCUCCUAUGAUUCCAUUUUGGCUCCUCAAAGACCUAUCCAUUGAAUUUCUUUUUGAUUAUAAGAAGACCAGUAUACCUCCGGUGGAAGCUCAAAUGCUCUUCCAGGAGUAUGUAGAGCUCAACUGCGACUCUGCUUUUUUCUUCACAGAUGGCUCAUGUCACGAAAAUCAGAUAGGUUCAGCAGCCGUCGGCCCUGGGCUUAGGUUUGGGACCCGGCUUCAAGAAUUUACGACAGUCUUUAGUGCCGAAGUUCACGCAAUCGAAAAAGUUAUGGAGCACAUCAAGGCAGAAAAGAUUGAUCGGGCAACCAUCUGUACUGAUUCGAAAUCCGCUCUUCAAGCACUGGAAAGGACCGAUAAUGUUACCCACCACGGUAUCUACAAUAUUCUCAGGAUCACAUCAGAUCUCAAUGAGGGCCAGCAUGUGACCCUUCUUUGGGUUCCAGGUCAUUACGGUAUUGCAGGAAAUGAACGUGCGGAUGUCCUCGCAAAGGAGGCUGCAAUGCGACCUGAUCCAGUUGUGGAACCUAUGGCCCAAGGGGACGCUAUUCAUAUGAUAAAAAUCAAAUUCGCCGAGUACCUUCAACGCAAAUGGGACCAACAUCAUGCUGCACAUAUGUAUGCGAUCAAACGAGAACUUAGAACAUGGGUCACAUGUAACCAACCAGACAGGAUACGCGAGGUGACCCUGGCCAGAUUGAGGUGUGGUCAUACUCGCCUCACCCAUGGCCACCUUUUUGAUAGGACGGGCCCUCCGAUUUGCCACACCUGCGACACACGCAUCUCCGUAGAGCACAUUUUGAUCGCAUGCACGGCAUUGCAUCACGAACGAAGACACAUCACUAACUAUCUUGCGGUACAACACCUUAAAAACGACCUCCCGACGCUUCUCGGGGACGACACAACAUUGACAAACCUGGUACUUGAUUUCGUCCUAACAUCACCCUACUCAGAGCUACUUUAACGGCCUUGACUGUUAGCAGGCGCCCGUUUCGCUACCACCAGGCUGACUUGUGAUACGGGAUGGGUCGGGUUUUUCGCUGGUGCCGAAACACAGAGCUUCGGUGGCAGACGGGUUUUCUCCUGCCGCUGGAGCAGGCUUAGAGGCUCAGCGGCCCAGCGAGCUACACCAGCGGACCCCGGCCGCUGAACAGCGGCGGCGGCCGGGUUGAACGACCACAGACAACCGUCGGCCGCCAACUGCAGCAGCGACAGAUUCCCCAUCCUCCAAACCAUUCCUUUCAUCGUGACGCUUAAACAUUCACAAACCCCAUCCCUCCCAGCGACAUAUCCCCCACUCUUCAAACCAUUCCUGUCAUCAAACUCUCGUAACCUUACCAUUCACAAACUUCCUCCUUCCCUCCCUUCACAAACAUCAAUUUACCGGAAAGCUGAUACACAGCAACUGAUGCUCUGCCUCACCAUGGAUGUCACUGAAAGACAGAUGUGUCCUCGCUGCUCGGUGCCGGGCGGAGAGCAGCACCCAAUGAAGAGACUGAAAAUAAACUUCACAGAGUCUG
rnacentral:misc_RNA from 1 species